GGAGAUGUAGCUCAGUGGUAGAGGGCUUCCUCCACACGCUAGGGGACCCUGGGUUUGAGUCCCAGCACCGCCA
rnacentral:tRNA from 1 species